GACGUAGGGCGCGAGCGUUGUCCGGAUUUAUUGGGCGUAAAGAGCUCGUAGGCGGCUUGUCGCGUCGACUGUGAAAACCCGCGGCUCAACCGCGGGCUUGCAGUCGAUACGGGCAGGCUAGAGUUUGGUAGGGGAGACUGGAAUUCCUGGUGUAGCGGUGAAAUGCGCAGAUAUCAGGAGGAACACCAAUGGCGAAGGCAGCACUCUGGGACGUGACUGACGCUGAGACGCGAAAGCGUGGGGAGCAAACAGG
rnacentral:rRNA from 1 species